rnacentral:rRNA from 1 species
UACGGAGGGGGCUAGCGUUAUUCGGAAUUAUUGGGCGUAAAGGGCGCGUAGGCGGCCCGGUAAGUCAAAGGUGAAAUCCCUCGGCUCAACUGAGGAACUGCCUUUGAAACUGUCGGGCUUGAGGCCGGGAGGGGGUAGCGGAAUUCCCAGUGUAGCGGUGAAAUGCGUAGAGAUCAGGAAGAACCCCGGUGGCGAAAGCGCUCUGCUGGACCUUAACUGACACUGAGGGACGAAAGCUAGGGGAGCGAAUGGG